rnacentral:rRNA from 1 species
AUUGAACGCUGGCGGCAGGCCUAACACAUGCAAGUCGAACGAGUGGCGGACGGGUGAGUAAUGACUGGGAAACUGCCUGAUGGAGGGGGAUAACUACUGGAAACGGUAGCUAAUACCGCAUACCAUCAGAUGUGCCCAGAUGGGCUUAGCUAGUUGGUGGGGUAACGGCGCACCAAGGCGACGAUCCCUAGCUGGACUGAGCGGAUGACCAGCCACACGGGAACUGAGACACGGUCCAGACUCCGACGGGAGGCAGCAGUGGGGAAUAUUGCACCAUGGGCGCAAGCCUUAUGCAGCCAUGCCGCGUGUAUGAAGAAGGCCUUCGGGUUGUAAAGUACUUUCAGCGGGGAGGCGUUACCCGCAGAAGAAGCACCGGCUAACUCCGUGCCAGCCGCCGCGGUAAUAC